rnacentral:rRNA from 1 species
AGUGAACGCUGGCGGUAGGCCUAACACAUGCAAGUCGAACGGCAGCACAGUAAGAGCUUGCUCUUACGGGUGGCGAGUGGCGGACGGGUGAGGAAUACAUCGGAAUCUACUUUUUCGUGGGGGAUAACGUAGGGAAACUUACGCUAAUACCGCAUACGACCUACGGGUGAAAGCAGGGGAUCUUCGGACCUUGCGCGGUUGAAUGAGCCGAUGUCGGAUUAGCUAGUUGGCGGGGUAAAGGCCCACCAAGGCGACGAUCCGUAGCUGGUCUGAGAGGAUGAUCGGCCACACUGGAACUGAGACACGGUCCAGACUCCUACGGGAGGCAGCAGUGGGGAAUAUUGGACAAUGGGCGCAAGCCUGAUCCAGCCAUACCGCGUGGGUGAAGAAGGCCUUCGGGUUGUAAAGCCCUUUUGUUGGGAAAGAAAAGCAGCAUGUUAAUACCCCGCUGUUCUGACGGUACCCAAAGAAUAAGCACCGGCUAACUUCGUG